CAGCCGCCGCGGGAAAACAGAGGGUGCGAGCGUUAAUCGGAUUUACUGGGCGUAAAGCGUGCGUAGGCGGCUUUUUAAGUCGGAUGUGAAAUCCCUGAGCUUAACUUAGGAAUUGCAUUCGAUACUGGGAAGCUAGAGUAUGGGAGAGGAUGGUAGAAUUCCAGGUGUAGCGGUGAAAUGCGUAGAGAUCUGGAGGAAUACCGAUGGCGAAGGCAGCCAUCUGGCCUAAUACUGACGCUGAGGUACGAAAGCAUGGGGAGCAAACAGGAUUAGAUACCCGAGUAGUCCCUGUCUCUUAUAC
rnacentral:rRNA from 1 species